AUACAGAGGUUGCGAGCGUUAAUCGGAAUUACUGGGCGUAAAGCGCGCGUAGGCGGCUUGGUCAGUCGGAUGUGAAAGCCCCGGGCUCAACCUGGGAAUGGCAUUCGAUACUGCCAGGCUAGAGUAUGGGAGAGGGAAGUGGAAUUUCCGGUGUAGCGGUGAAAUGCGUAGAUAUCGGAAGGAACACAAGUGGCGAAGGCGACUUCCUGGCCCAAUACUGACGCUGAGGUGCGAAAGCGUGGGGAGCGAACAGGAUUAGAAACCCGUGUAGUCC
rnacentral:rRNA from 1 species